rnacentral:lncRNA from 1 species
AUUUUUUCUUUAUUUUUGAAGGAUAAUAUUGCUGGACAUAGAAUUCUUUGUUGACAUUGGUCAGCUCUUUGAAUAUGUCAUCCAGUAUCUUCUGGCCUCCGUGGUUUAUGGUUUUGGCAGAGUUCAAAGACUGGGAAGCAAAGUUCAGCCAUGUUGGGCCUUUGGGCUCAUAGAUGAGCAAGGGUACCCCAAUAUGAGGGCUCAGCAAAUUCUGGAACUUAUCAGUUCUGAAGACCUUUAGAGGAGAAGGAGACAAGUAAAAGGGUUGGCCUUGCGUAUUGGCAAUGAAACAGGCUAUUUUUGACAUUGAGUUGUCCAGCAUUCUCUAAGGUGAGGCUAUGUUGCAUGUUGGAAAGAUUUAGCGAAUAACAGAGGCAGGCUCCACUCGUUUCCCACUGGGAAAGGCAAGAGCAGCCUGCACACAGAG